AGCUGGGCGGGGUCGACGCCGCGCGUCACCGUGAGGUAGUCGCGCAUGACGAUCGAGUGCCGGUUCUC
rnacentral:sRNA from 1 species